CGAAUCCAAAUGCGACACGUACAUACGGCAGCGAAAAUGUGCGAUUCCCAUGUCAAAAGAAAUGUGCGAUACUGUCCUUUACAUGUAGCCGACGGACUCGACGAUCCGCGAAGGUCCGCGUGUCCCCACGCACCCGCAGACGUGUCCCGGCAACUGCACAAACAAAAUGACAUCGGCAGUUACCUUCACGGCCAGAGACACAGAGACAGGGACCGCCAGAAAUGGAGAUGGCGAUAGGAGGAGCAGCAGCAGCGGCAGGGAAGGUCGGCGGAGCGGCGGCAAGGAAGGCCGAGGGAGCGACGGCGUCAGGGGAGUACUGGAGCGAGGCGCUCAAGUCGUUCCUCGACCACAUCCCCGUCUCCUCCGUGUCCGGCGCGGCCCAGUCCUCCUCUACCUCCCCAGCGUUGGAGCUCAACCUCGAUGGCUCCGUGCUGGACGCCAUCGGCUCCAUGUACCGCGGCGACGUCGGCGGCGCUGUCAUCGUCGACGAGGUCCACAGUACCCUCGGCAAGUUCGUCGAUCGCGACAUCGGCUUUGUUGAUUUCCAGAGCCUCGCAUUGUGGGCACUCGAAGAGCUCGACAAAGUGAGCACUGAACGAGAAGAGAAAAGUUCUGACUUCCUCUCAAGUCUAAAAUGCCAUCCUCAGAUUGCAGAAACGAAGAUUGCCUGGUUAGCGAAGCUAUUCCUAUUGGAGCCGUUCUUCCCCGUUCGGUCCCAUGACACGCUGUUCCAUGCAAUGCUUCUCUUCUCGAAGCACCAAAGGCUCAAUGUGAUACCUGUCGUUGAGUCGGUGAACUCGAGUGUUGACGGAUUUGUCACUCAGAACGCGGUGAUAGAGUUGCUUCUCCAGUCAAGUGGUCUUGAAUGGCUGGAUAAAAUCGCGGAUAAACAACUAUCUGAAUUUAGGUUUGUUAACGCGAGCAAGCCUGUUUUGGUUUACUCGGACCAGACGGCAGCCGAUGCAUUCCGUGUUCUUUCCAAGGAGAAAACAGGAGUUGCGGUUAUCGACAGGAACACUCAGUGUUUGACUGGAAUGAUUCAGUGCAGCGAUGUGUACCUGCUGUUGGACGACAACUCCCUAUUUAGCAACAGAAGGACUCUGAGUUGUGAAGAAUUCGUGAAGCUGAAGAACAAGAAUGACAAUGGCAGCGCAGAGCAUUCAUCAGCAUCUGAUAGCCAGAGCAUCCUCAGCCUCAGAAGCAGAGCGCAGCAAAGAGCAGGCCUAUCGGUAACGAACCGGAAAUCGGACACCCUGAAGCAAGCAAUGGAGAAUCUAGCUGCUUCAGGAAGCAGCUGCAGCUUCAUCGUCGGCGAGCACGGGCUCGUGGAAGGAGUCGUGACGACAAGAGACAUCAUCUCCGUCUUCUCCCCGCCGUGCAUGGACUCCAGGAUCGAUGGGGGCACCUUCUUCUCGGCGGCGCUUGAGCAGGCCGGCUGCCGCGUUGAGAACGGGCAGAUGAUUAGGAACUCUAAUUAGUUUUCUCCUUGUUUUGAUUCUGGUCUACAGGUUUGCCUUGUAGACUCCUCCUAGCUAGUAAUGAUUUGGACAAACUGAAUCUCGUUAGGGCAGAAUGCAGAUAACUCGGCAGCUGAUCUGCUCUUUUAUGUUUACUAUAUUAAUAUGUGGCGC